GACGAACGCUGGCGGCGCGCUUAACACAUGCAGGUCGAACGGAAAGGCCUGCUUUCCCUUGUGGAUUGCGGGUACUCGAGUGGCGAACGGGUGAGUAACACGUGAGUGAUCUGCCCCCAACUUGGGUAUAAGCCUGGGAAACUGGGUCUAAUUCCCGAUAGGACUGCAGGGUGGUGCCUGUGGUGGAAAACGAUUUUCUAGUGGUUGGGGAUGAGCCCGCGGCCUAUCAGCUUGUUGGUGGGGUAAUGGCCUACCAAGGCGGCGACGGGUAGCCGGCCUGAGAGGGUGGACGGCCACAUUGGGACUGAGAUACGGCCCAGACUCCUACGGGAGGCAGCAGUGGGGAAUAUUGCACAAUGGGCGGAAGCCUGAUGCAGCGACGCCGCGUGGGGGAUGACGGCCUUCGGGUUGUAAACUCCUUUCGACCGCGAGGAAGCCACCUGGUUGGAAGGGUGGUGACGGUAGUGGUAGAAGAAGCACCGGCUAACUACGUG
rnacentral:rRNA from 1 species